rnacentral:rRNA from 1 species
CCUACGGGGGGCUGCAGUGGGGAAUAUUGCACAAUGGGCGCAAGCCUGAUGCAGCCAUGCCGCGUGUGUGAAGAAGGCCUUCGGGUUGUAAAGCACUUUCAGCGGGGAGGAAGGCGGUGAGGUUAAUAACCUCAUCGAUUGACGUUACCCGCAGAAGAAGCACCGGCUAACUCCGUGCCAGCAGCCGCGGUAAUACGGAGGGUGCAAGCGUUAAUCGGAAUUACUGGGCGUAAAGCGCCCGCAGGCGGUCUGUCAAGUCGGAUGUGAAAUCCCCGGGCUCAACCUGGGAACUGCAUUCGAAACUGGCAGGCUAGAGUCUUGUAGAGGGGGGUAGAAUUCCAGGUGUAGCGGUGAAAUGCGUAGAGAUCUGGAGGAAUACCGGUGGCGAAGGCGGCCCCCUGGACAAAGACUGACGCUCAGGUGCGAAAGCGUGGGGAGCAAACAGGAUUAGAUACCCGGGUAGUC